UUAUUUACAUACUAUUAAUAUGAAUUUUGCUACAAUAUAUCGAUAAAACCAAGCACUUAAUGCUAUUAAGCCGUUAAAUCUACUCAUUUGAUUAUUUUUAUCUGUUGGAUCAUAUUAUUCAACCAACCAUACACUCAACUCUAGACGCGCGACUACUAUCAUCAUAACCGUACAUCGCUUUAUCCAAUGAUGAAAAAUCUAAUAAUUCAAUUUACUUGUUCUAUAUAUAGUAUUCAAACUUAGUUUCUAUUAAUAUUUAGUAGUAAAUAUUAAUUAU
rnacentral:lncRNA from 1 species